CAGGCGUCGGGCUGCUGCACACCCCGAUCACCAAAGGACCAAGAAGGGAAACACGUCCAUGCACGCCCCAUCUGGGCACCACCAAGGGAGCAUGGCGUGGUCGAGUUGUGCCUUGUGCACCCGCGGCGUGCUCGCCUUACGUCUAUGGUGGACGCAAGACGGUGCCCGACGCGGUGUUGGUUUUGCUGUGCGGGUUGCUUAAUCUUAGACGGUGCGGCUGUUCGAUUAUCGCCCAAAGCACCUCACGCCUCGGGCUGUCCCUUGAAUGUUCUUAGUCGCUUCCCCCGAACCCUGCCCAGCGGAGUUGGCUCGGCACUCCCGUAUGCUUCCGCUUGACGGCACGCUCCAAGGCGUGCGGGGGGCUGCUCGUCCGGGCGUGCUGGGUUUGCGGACCGUGGUGGCGGAUGAGUGGUAUGCGGGUCGUUAGUGUGUCUGGCUCCUUGCCGCGCGCACCUAACGGCCGCGCUGAAACUCGAGUUGCCCAAAAGGCUUGCUUGGCGCAAUGCGAGCAAGGUGAGACGCCGAAAGGCUUGCUGGGCACAAUGCCCGCAAGAUGCACGUUGCCUAGGCACACUAGCAAGCCCGUUGUGGUUGUGGUGUGCCGUCGGGGUCCCCCGCCCCGGGUCCAAGGUCGAGCACGGGCGUCGGGCUGCCGCACACCCCGAUCACCAAAGGACCAAGAAGGGAAACACGUCCAUGCACGCCCCAUCUGGGCACCACCUAGGGAGCAUGGCGUGGUCGAGUUGUGCCUUGUGCACCCGCGGCGUGCUCGCCUUACGUCUAUGGUGGACGCAAGACGGUGCCCGACGCGGUGUUGG